rnacentral:rRNA from 1 species
GAUGAACGCUGGCGGCGUGCCUAAUACAUGCAAGUAGAACGCUGAAGGAGGAGCUUGCUCUUCUGGAUGAUUUGCGAACGGGUGAGUAACGCGUAGGUAACCUGCCUGUUAGCGGGGGAUAACUCUUGGAAACGAUAGCUAAUACCGCAUGACAACAGUUAUUCCAUGAUAACUGUUUAAAAGGGGCAACUUCUCCACUACCAGAUGGACCUGCGUUGUCUUAGCUAGUUGUUGAGGUAACGGCUCAACAAAGCGACGAUACAUAGCCGACCUGGUAGGGUGAUCGGCCAACAUGGGACUGAGACAACGGCCAGACUCCUACGGGAGGCAGCCGUAGGGAAACCUCGGCAAUGGACGGAAGGCUGAACGGGCAACGGCGGGGGAGUGAAGAAGGGUUUCGGAUCGGAAAGCUCUGUUGUAAGGGAAGAAAGAGUGUUAGAGUGGAAAGUUCACACCGUGACGGUACCUUACCAGAAAGGGACGGCUAACUACGUG